rnacentral:lncRNA from 1 species
AAUAAAGACUUCAUGAAAUUUCAUUACUUGCCUCGUAUCCACGAGCUCUCUCGUGGGAACACUAUAAUAAAAACAAUAAUAAUACUAAAAUUGAAAAUAAUAAUAAAAUUUUGAUAUAAACAAAUCCUAGUAAUUUUAAAAUACUAAUCAAUAAGAAAUUCUAAUGAGUAUAGCAAAAUUGAACAAGAUCAAGAGGAGGUAUCAAUGACUUCCACUAAAACAAUCAUCAGUCCAAUCUCAUGGUCAUGAGUUACCUCUAAAACGAGGUAUUUCUUGUAAAUUGUAAUUGAGGUGUUGGUGGCGUAGGGAAAAUGGUUGGUGGAUGUGGAUACGUGGAAGAAAGGGUGGACAAAUGCAUCGACAUAAACAUCGUUUCUCAUGCGGAUCAUAUCUCGGUUCUCCUCUUCCUAGGAAUACGUUUAAUGGCAACCAUACUUUAGACUUUCUGCACUCUGGAAAACAAACACAAUCGCAGUCAGAUUCAGAAUCAGCAAUUGCUAAGCUUCUUGUCAAGCAAAUCAACAGAAGCAGCGCCACCAUGAAAUUCUGAGUUCCCAUUUUUUUUUUU